rnacentral:rRNA from 1 species
UACAGAGGGGGCAAGCGUUAUUCGGAAUUAUUGGGCGUAAAGGGCGCGUAGGCGGCCUGGCAAGUGGAUGGUGAAAUCCCUCGGCUUAACCGAGGAACUGCCAUCCAGACUGCUUGGCUUGAGACCGGGAGAGGUGAGUGGAAUUCCCAGUGUAGCGGUGAAAUGCGUAGAUAUUGGGAGGAACACCAGUGGCGAAGGCGGCUCACUGGCCCGGUACUGACGCUGAGGCGCGAAAGCGUGGGGAGCAAACAGG